rnacentral:misc_RNA from 1 species
GUGAAGAACGUAGCGAAAUGCGAUACGUAAUGUGAAUUGCAGAAUUCAGUGAAUCAUCGAAUCUUUGAACGCACAUUGCGCCCUCUGGUAUUCCGGGGGGCAUGCCUGUUCGAGCGUCAUUAUAACCACUCAAGCUCUCGCUUGGUAUUGGGGUUCGCGGUUUCGCGGCCCCUAAAAUCAGUGGCGGUGCCUGUCGGCUCUACGCGUAGUAAUACUUCUCGCGAUUGAGUUCGAUAGGUCUACUUGCCAGUAACCCCCAAUUUUUACAGGUUGACCUCGGAUCAGGUAGGGAUACCCGCUGAACUUAAGCAUAUCAAUAAGCGGAGGA